AUGUCCUCGAGCAGGUGCUCCUGCUCCAGGCGCAGCAGACUGCGCGCCGAGCCCAGGCACAACACGGCGCCACGCAUCUCACGGACGUCGCGGUCGUCGUGGUCGUGCAGCUUGCCCAUUGCGGAGCCGUCUGCCUGCUGCUACCGCGGCACCGCCGCCUCGCCCCCCAGGCUGCGGUUGUGCACCUCCAGCUACCUCACCUUGUCAAUGUAGCCCGCAAAGCGGUCGUUCAGCGUCUACAGCUGCUUCUGUCUGCGCGCCGCAGCCUCUGCCACCACGUAGCCCUUCGGCUCAGCGUGUCCAGCGUUUUGAUGCUCGAGGGUGCGCCUGCGCAGUGGAAGAGGUUGGGUGAGGCCGACACGGAUCUCAUAGGCGGACACGGAUCUCAUAGACUUCCACGAGUGGAAGCCGCUGGAGGAGCCGGCGGCCGAGCGUGUCCAGCCUUCUCCUCCCUGGCCCAGCGCGUAAUGGAGGCUGCCGCCACUGGGCAGCGUGACGAAAGGAACGCCCAGCAGCACAUCCGUGCAACCGAAGCUCGUCGUGGUCAGAGCAGCAAAGUCCCAGACCACUUCUGCAGCAUUUACAGAAAGGCAAGCCAAAAUGUGUUCUGCCAGUAUUAGCCCACCAUUUAUCUCCUUCUUAAAAGAGAGUUGCUGUGCUGUGCAUUCUGCGUCUCUCACCCCAAAACCAGAAGGGAAGGAUUAUUGACGAUUCAUCUGAUCAUAUGAGGAGAGGCUGAAAACAAAUACUCCAAGAGCUUAGCUUCAAGUUCCUUUUCUGGAGGGAUAUGCAGAGUAGUCUGCUGAUUCAUGCUGGAAGAGUCUAAAUAUAAGAGGUUAUGGCUGGUCAGUUCCAACAGCACAAUGGAAAUGACUACUUUUUGAAUGGCCAGAGUUUCAUGGUCAAAGGAUGUGUAAAGCUCUCUAUGCCAGUUCUGGGCCUCAUGGAAGGAAGUUAGACCGCAUUACGUUGAGAGGGACAAUAUCUAAAAGGAUUUCCUGAAAGUUUAGGAGAUCUUAACAGAGAUACUGGAAUCAGAAACUAAGGCUAAGAGAGACAUCUUUAAAUUCCAAGGGUUUGUACUUGUUCUUUACAGACCUCGAGGAAUAAAGAUCUCUUAAGAAGCCA
rnacentral:lncRNA from 13 species